GAUUUGGAUUCUUCUUCUCGCCAAACUAUAUGUGUAUGGUGUAUUUCAAGAGACAUCGACGGCCCAGAAAUAAAUGUUUAUUUGCUGCGAUUGAACUAUCAUUCAAACAAUGACAAACAUGUUUAACCUUAUUUUUGUGGCUGUAGCAGCAACUUACAUGUGGAGAGAGAAGCACGUAUUCUUCCUUGUCCUUGAGGUUUGCAUUAUUGUAACUGGCAAAUUUUUUUUAUGUAAAUAAUCUUUUAUUUUUUAAAUGUAAUGUUUAGAACAUUGUGG